GCAGCCGCCGCGGGAAUACAGAGGAUGCAAGCGUUAUCCGGAAUGAUUGGGCGUAAAGCGUCUGUAGGUGGCUUUUCAAGUCCGCCGUCAAAUCCCAGGGCUCAACCCUGGACAGGCGGUGGAAACUACCAAGCUGGAGUACGGUAGGGGCAGAGGGAAUUUCCAGUGGAGCGGUGAAAUGCGUUGAGAUCGAAAAGAACACCAACAGCGAAAGCACUCUGCUGGGACGACACUGACACUAAGAGACGAAAGCUAGGGGAGCAAAUGGGAUUAGAUACCCCCGUAGUCCCUGUCUCUUAUAC
rnacentral:rRNA from 1 species